GAUGAACGCUGGCGGCGUGCUUAACACAUGCAAGUCGAACGAAGCACUUUAUUUGAUUUCCUUCGGGACUGAUUAUUUUGUGACUGAGUGGCGGACGGGUGAGUAACGCGUGGGUAACCUGCCUUGUACAGGGGGAUAACAGUUGGAAACGGCUGCUAAUACCGCAUAAGCGCACAGCAUCGCAUGAUGCAGUGUGAAAAACUCCGGUGGUAUAAGAUGGACCCGCGUUGGAUUAGCUAGUUGGUGAGGUAACGGCCCACCAAGGCGACGAUCCAUAGCCGGCGUGAGAGGGUGACCGGCGACAUUUGGACUGGGACACAGCCCAAACUCCUACGGGAGGCAGCAAGGGGGAAUAUUGCAAAAUGGGCGAAAGCAUGAUGCAGCGACGGCGCGUAAGCGAAGAAGUAUUUAGGUAUGUAAAGCACUAUAAGCAGGGAAGAUAAUGACGGUACCUGAAGAAGAAGCACCGGCUAAAUACGUG
rnacentral:rRNA from 1 species